rnacentral:rRNA from 1 species
GAUGAACGCUAGCGAAAUGCCUAACACAUGCAAGUCGAACGGAUCUUGCGUCGUAGCAAUACGUAGUAAGAUUAGUGGCAAACGAGCGAGUAACGCGUGCUUAACUUGCCCCGAAGAUGGGUAUAACUGCAGAGAUGUAGCUAAUUCCCAAUAUGCUCACGAUGGUGAAAUUCCAAUGUGAGGAAAGAUUUAUCGCUUCGGGAGAGUGGUGCGUCCUAUCAGGUAGUUGGUAAGGUAACGGCUUACCAAGCCUAUGACGGGUAACCGGUCUGAGAUGAUGUCCGGUCGCGAUGGGACUGAGAUACGGCCCAUACUCCUACGGGAGGCAGCAGUGGGGAAUCUUGCACAAUGGACGAAAGUCUGAUGCAGCAAUUUCGCGUGAAGGAUGAAGCAUUACGGUGUGUAAACUUCUUUUUUGGCAGAAGACGAAUGACGGUAUGUCAAGAAUAAGAGCGGCUA